GAAAUCAAGUAGAAGUUAUCCGCUUCUCACCUUGCGACAAAGUUGUAAGGUUAAUAGCUAAGUUCAAGAUCGAUGUUCUUAGUUAAAGUGUGCUUAUUUUAGCGGAUAGCUUGUGCUGUCCGCUUUUAUUUUUUCGU
rfam:[Clostridium] paradoxum JW-YL-7 = DSM 7308 strain JW-YL-7 ctg1, whole genome shotgun sequence.